AUGGAGAGGAGCCUGGGAGCUGUGCUGGGGCUGCUGUGGGUGCAGCUAUGCUGGACGAGAGGGAUGCAAGUGGAGCAGAGUCCUUCAGUCCUGAGUCUCCACGAGGGAACCAGUUUUGCUCUGAGAUGCAAUUUUUCCACCACCAUGACGACUGUGCAGUGGUUCAGACAGAAUCCCCAGGGCAGCCUCAUCAAUCUUUUCUACCUGGCUCUGGGAGCAAAGGAGAAUGGGAGGUUAAAGUCAACAUUUGAUUCUAAGGAGAGCUACAGCACCCUGCACAUCAGAGAUGCCCAGCUAGAGGACUCAGGCACCUACCUCUGUGCUGCUGAGGCACAGUGCUCCCAGCAAGCCUGCAGCCUGGCCCCAAACUGCAGCUGGGUGUACACAGGCAGACUCCAUAGCAGCAUUUGCACAGCUGUGGGCCUCCCUGUUUAUGCUGUAUCCCUUAUCUGUGCUGACACUAGACAGUUCAGGAUUGCUGCUACAAUUUGCUGUACCCUUUCCCUUACAGAUACCCAUUUUUAG